GAUUAAUCAACAUAACAGUUUUUUUCAUUUUUUUCAGCCUACUUCAUGCUUUGAACAGAAGAGUUUUAUCAGUUUUAAAUGUUUCUUCAUUUCUAUACCUUCUUUUAUCUGAGGAGCUUAAGCCAUUUUGUAGAGGCAUUAAGUAUUGCCUCAGUCUUAAUAUGUGAGACAAGACACUCUGUGGAUUGUGACCUGUUGGUGGGCCAUGAAAUCAAUUUGGGGGUUUGAGAGCAUCAUUCUUUUAAUAAAACAGAAGAGAAUCAUCUGCAAUAAGGAACCCAUGGAUGAAUACCAUCUGGUCCUGGUGAUUUACUGCACAGAGUCCCUCAAGUUGCUCCAUACCUUUCUCCUGAGAGACUGAAGAAUCUCUGUCAAGGCCGUUCUCUGCUUUGCCAUAAAAUGUGUCCUUGGAACAAGAAUUUCCC
rnacentral:lncRNA from 1 species